GACGAACGCUGGCGGCGUGCUUAACACAUGCAAGUCGAACGGAAAGGCCCUGCUUUUGUGGGGUGCUCGAGUGGCGAACGGGUGAGUAACACGUGAGUAACCUGCCCUUGACUUUGGGAUAACUUCAGGAAACUGGGGCUAAUACCGGAUAGGAGCUCCUGCUGCAUGGAGGGGGUUGGAAAGUUUCGGCGGUUGGGGAUGGACUCGCGGCUUAUCAGCUUGUUGGUGGGGUAGUGGCUUACCAAGGCUUUGACGGGUAGCCGGCCUGAGAGGGUGACCGGCCACAUUGGGACUGAGAUACGGCCCAGACUCCUACGGGAGGCAGCAGUGGGGAGUAUUGCACAGUGGGCGGAAGCCUGAUGCAGCAACGCCGCGUGCGGGAUGACGGCCUUCGGGUUGUAAACCGCUUUCGCCUGUGACGAAGCGUGAGUGACGGUAAUGGGUAAAGAAGCACCGGCUAACUACGUG
rnacentral:rRNA from 1 species